AUUGAACGCUGGCGGCAGGCCUAACACAUGCAAGUCGAGCGGAUGAAGGGAGCUUGCUCCUGGAUUCAGCGGCGGACGGGUGAGUAAUGCCUAGGAAUCUGCCUGGUGGUGGGGGAUAACGUCCGGAAACGGGCGCUAAUACCGCAUACGUCCUGAGGGAGAAAGUGGGGGAUCUUCGGACCUCACGCUAUCAGAUGAGCCUAGGUCGGAUUAGCUAGUUGGUGGGGUAAAGGCCUACCAAGGCGACGAUCCGUAACUGGUCUGAGAGGAUGAUCAGUCACACUGGAACUGAGACACGGUCCAGACGCCUACGGGAGGCAGCAGUGGGGAAUAUUGGACAAUGGGCGAAAGCCUGAUCCAGCCAUGCCGCGUGUGUGAAGAAGGUCUUCGGAUUGUAAAGCACUUUAAGUUGGGAGGAAGGGCAGUAAGUUAAUACCUUGCUGUUUUGACGUUACCAACAGAAUAAGCACCGGCUAACUUCGUG
rnacentral:rRNA from 1 species